rnacentral:rRNA from 2 species
GACAGAGGGUGCAAACGUUGUUCGGAAUUACUGGGCGUAAAGCGCGUGUAGGCUGUCGUGCAAGUCGGGUGUGAAAGCCCGGGGCUCAACCCCGGAAGUGCACUCGAAACUGCAUGACUAGAGUCCUGGAGAGGGAGGCGGAAUUCUGGGUGUAGAGGUGAAAUUCGUAGAUAUCCAGAGGAACACCGGUGGCGAAGGCGGCCUCCUGGACAGUGACUGACGCUGAGACGCGAAAGCGUGGGGAGCAAACAGG